UUUUGUAUAAUGGGUCAGCGACUUAUAUUCUGUAGCAAGGUUAACCGAAUAGGGGAGCCGAAGGGAAACCGAGUCUUAACUGGGCGUUAAGUUGCAGGGUAUAGACCCGAAACCCGGUGAUCUAGCCAUGGGCAGGUUGAAGGUUGGGUAACACUAACUGGAGGACCGAACCGACUAAUGUUGAAAAAUUAGCGGAUGACUUGUGGCUGGGGGUGAAAGGCCAAUCAAACCGGGAGAUAGCUGGUUCUCCCCGAAAGCUAUUUAGGUAGCGCCUCGUGAAUUCAUCUCCGGGGGUAGAGCACUGUUUCGGCAAGGGGGUCAUCCCGACUUACCAACCCGAUGCAAACUGCGAAUACCGGAGAAUGUUAUCACGGGAGACACACGGCGGGUGCUAACGUCCGUCGUGAAGAGGGAAACAACCCAGACCGCCAGCUAAGGUCCCAAAGUCAUGGUUAAGUGGGAAACGAUGUGGGAAGGCCCAGACAGCCAGGAUGUUGGCUUAGAAGCAGCCAUCAUUUAAAGAAAGCGUAAUAGCUCACUGGUCGAGUCGGCCUGCGCGGAAGAUGUAACGGGGCUAAACCAUGCACCGAAGCUGCGGCAGCGACGCUUAUGCGUUGUUGGGUAGGGGAGCGUUCUGUAAGCCUGUGAAGGUGUGCUGUGAGGCAUGCUGGAGGUAUCAGAAGUGCGAAUGCUGACAUAAGUAACGAUAAAGCGGGUGAAAAGCCCGCUCGCCGGAAGACCAAGGGUUCCUGUCCAACGUUAAUCGGGGCAGGGUGAGUCGACCCCUAAGGCGAGGCCGAAAGGCGUAGUCGAUGGGAAACAGGUUAAUAUUCCUGUACUUGGUGUUACUGCGAAGGGGGGACGGAGAAGGCUAUGUUGGCCGGGCGACGGUUGUCCCGGUUUAAGCGUGUAGGCUGGUUUUCCAGGCAAAUCCGGAAAAUCAAGGCUGAGGCGUGAUGACGAGGCACUACGGUGCUGAAGCAACAAAUGCCCUGCUUCCAGGAAAAGCCUCUAAGCAUCAGGUAACAUCAAAUCGUACCCCAAACCGACACAGGUGGUCAGGUAGAGAAUACCAAGGCGCUUGAGAGAACUCGGGUGAAGGAACUAGGCAAAAUGGUGCCGUAACUUCGGGAGAAGGCACGCUGAUAUGUAGGUGAAGUCCCUCGCGGAUGGAGCUGAAAUCAGUCGAAGAUACCAGCUGGCUGCAACUGUUUAUUAAAAACACAGCACUGUGCAAACACGAAAGUGGACGUAUACGGUGUGACGCCUGCCCGGUGCCGGAAGGUUAAUUGAUGGGGUCAGCGCAAGCGAAGCUCUUGAUCGAAGCCCCGGUAAACGGCGGCCGUAACUAUAACGGUCCUAAGGUAGCGAAAUUCCUUGUCGGGUAAGUUCCGACCUGCACGAAUGGCGUAAUGAUGGCCAGGCUGUCUCCACCCGAGACUCAGUGAAAUUGAACUCGCUGUGAAGAUGCAGUGUACCCGCGGCAAGACGGAAAGACCCCGUGAACCUUUACUAUAGCUUGACACUGAACAUUGAGCCUUGAUGUGUAGGAUAGGUGGGAGGCUUAGAAGUGUGGACGCCAGUCUGCAUGGAGCCGACCUUGAAAUACCACCCUUUAAUGUUUGAUGUUCUAACGUUGACCCGUAAUCCGGGUUGCAGACAGUGUCUGGUGGGUAGUUUGACUGGGGCGGUCUCCUCCUAAAGAGUAACGGAGGAGCACGAAGGUUGGCUAAUCCUGGUCGGACAUCAGGAGGUUAGUGCAAUGGCAUAAGCCAGCUUGACUGCGAGCGUGACGGCGCGAGCAGGUGCGAAAGCAGGUCAUAGUGAUCCGGUGGUUCUGAAUGGAAGGGCCAUCGCUCAACGGAUAAAAGGUACUCCGGGGAUAACAGGCUGAUACCGCCCAAGAGUUCAUAUCGACGGCGGUGUUUGGCACCUCGAUGUCGGCUCAUCACAUCCUGGGGCUGAAGUAGGUCCCAAGGGUAUGGCUGUUCGCCAUUUAAAGUGGUACGCGAGCUGGGUUUAGAACGUCGUGAGACAGUUCGGUCCCUAUCUGCCGUGGGCGCUGGAGAACUGAGGGGGGCUGCUCCUAGUACGAGAGGACCGGAGUGGACGCAUCACUGGUGUUCGGGUUGUCAUGCCAAUGGCACUGCCCGGUAGCUAAAUGCGGAAGAGAUAAGUGCUGAAAGCAUCUAAGCACGAAACUUGCC
rnacentral:rRNA from 1 species